rnacentral:lncRNA from 1 species
GGCCACAGCUCCUCCCACCUGUUUUAUUGUUCCUGCUGGACUUUCCACCUGGAACGCUUACCUCUGCAUCUCCGGUGGUGUAGGAGGAGGUCUGGUGGAGAGUCAGGACUUUCACUAUCAGCCAGCAGUAAUAAAACCAUGCCACCCAAGUGUUAAUGGAGACCACCUGGGGAGCCAGAGCUCCUACCACUGCCAGGAAGUAACAAGGAACUCUCCCCAUAACCUGCAUCAUCACUUUUGGUGUCAAGAAAGGCUCAGUGGGAAAUCUGGCCUUUUACCUCCAUUUGCCAGUGACAAGCAAGUGCUAUUCCUCCCCCUGCUGAAGUGGCAUUAAAGAAAUGAAGUUAAAACAAGAGGUUUAAAUGAGAUCUAAAGGCUUAUCACUUAAUAAAAAGUGUUCAAGAUUCAAUUUAAAAAACUCACUUUUCAUACCAACAGCCAGAAAGAUCUCAAACUGAAUGAAAAACAAUCAAUAGAGGCCAAUGCUAAAAUGACAGAGGUAUUAGAAACGUCUGACAAAGAUUUUUAAAGUGACCAUGAUAAAAAUGCUUCAAUGUGCAAUAUAAACAUGCUUGAAACAAAUAAAAAAAAGACAAUCUCAGCAAAGAAAUAGAAGAUAUAAAGAACUAUAUGAAAAAUGAAAAGUAAAAUGACUGAAGUAAUAAACUCAGUGGCUAGGCUUAACAGAAUGGAAGUGACAAAGGAAGGAUCAGUGAACUGGAAGACAGAACAAUAAAAAUAACUCAUUUAAACAACACAGAGAAAAUAGACUAAAAAAAAAAACCAGUUUCAGUGACCUGUGGGACUACAAUAAAACAUCCAGCAUUUAUGUUAUCAGGAUCCCGAAAGAACAGGAGAGACUGAAGAUGACAAAGCACUGAAAGAAAUAAUGGCUGAAAACUUCCCAAAUUUGGCAAGAGACAUAAAUCUACUGAGCCACAAACAGGACAAAUCCAAAGAAAUUCAUGUCAAGAUUCAUAAUAAUUAAACUUCUGAAAAUUAAAGACAAAGUUCUGAAAGCAGGCAGAGAAUGACAUCUUACCUGAAGGGGAAAAACACACAAGCAAGCAAGUAAACAACAUAAUAGCAGACUUUUUUUAUCUUAAAUCAUGGGGGCCAGAAGAAAGCAGUACAGUGUUUUUUGUUUUGUUUUAUUUUGUUUUGCUUUCUUCAAAUGCUGAAAGAAAAGAACUGUCAACCCAGAAUUCAAUAUCCAGUGAAAGUAUCCUUCAGGAAUGAAUGGGGCCAAUGAAGAUAUUCUCAAAAGAAGGAACUUUAAUAGAAUUUAUCACUAGCAGACUUACCCUAAAGAAAUGGCUAAAUGAAGUUCUCUAAAUGGAAAGUAAAUGGUAAAAGAAGGAGCCUUGGAACACCAGGAAGAAAAAAUAAAAGCUAAAAUACAGGUAAAUACAAUAGACUUUCCUUCUUUCCUUGAGUUUUCUAAAUUAUGUUUGACAGUUAAACUAAAAAUUAUAAAACUGCAUAAUGUGAUUCUAAGUGUAUAUAGAGAAAACAUUUAAGAUAAUUGUAUUUAAAUGGGGGAAGGUAAGGACAUGUUAAGGGAGGUAAGUUUUUUAUACUUCACCCAAAUUGGU